AAGGCAUCGCAGGGUAGCUAUGUACGGAAGAGAUAACCGCUGAAAGCAUCUAAGCGGGAAACUUGCCUGAAGAUGAGGGUUCCCUGGAGACUUGAUCUCCCUGAAGGGUCGUUCGAGACCAGGACGUUGAUAGGCUGGGUGUGGAAGCGCAGUAAUGCGUUCAGCUAACCAGUACUAAUUGCCCCGUGCGGCUUGAUCCU
rnacentral:ncRNA from 1 species